rnacentral:rRNA from 1 species
UAAGCGGAGGAAAAGAAACUAACAAGGAUUCCCCUAGUAACUGCGAGUGAAGCGGGAAAAGCUCAAAUUUAAAAUCUGGUGGUCUUUGGCCGUCCGAGUUGUAAUUUAGAGAAGCGUCUUCCGCGCUGGACCGUGCACAAGUCUCCUGGAACGGAGCGUCGUAGAGGGUGAGAAUCCCGUCUUUGACAUGGACUACCAGUACUUUGUGAUGCGCUCUCAAAGAGUCGAGUUGUUUGGGAAUGCAGCUCAAAAUGGGUGGUAAAUUCCAUCUAAAGCUAAAUAUAGGCGAGAGACCGAUAGCGAACAAGUACCGUGAGGGAAAGAUGAAAAGCACUUUGGAAAGAGAGUUAAACAGUACGUGAAAUUGCUGAAAGGGAAACGCUUGAAGUCAGUCGUGUCUGCCAGGACUCAGCCUUGCUUUUGCUUGGUGCACUUUCUGGUUUGACAGGCCAGCAUCGAUUUUGACUGUUGGAAAAAGAUUAAGGGAAUGUGGCACCUUCGGGUGUGUUAUAGCCCUUUAUUGCAUACAGCAAUUGGAAUCGAGGAUCGCAGCACGCCUUUAUGGCCGGGGCUUUGCCCACGUACGUGCUUAGGAUGCUGGCAUAAUGGCUUUAAGCGACC